UACGAACCGUCCAAACGUUAUUCGGAAUCACUGGGCUUAAAGCGUGUGUAGGCGGACUUCUAAGUACCUUGUGAAAUCCCACGGCUCACCCGUGGAACUGCUCGGUAUACUGGUUGUCUUGAGCCACUUAGGGGCUACCGGAACAAAUGGUGGAGCGGUGAAAUGCGUAGAUAUCAUUUGGAACGCCAAUGGUGAAAACAGGUAGCUGGGAGUGUGCUGACGCUGAGACACGAAAGCCAGGGGAGCGAACGGG
rnacentral:rRNA from 1 species